GAUGAAGAACGCAGCGAAAUGCGAUACGUAGUGUGAAUUACAGAAUUCAGUGAAUCAUCGAAUCUUUGAACGCACAUUGCACCUCUCGGUAUUCCGGGAGGUAUGCCUGUUCGAGCGUCAUUUGUACCCUCAAGCUCUGCUUGGUGUUGGGUGUUUGUUCCGCCUCUGUGUGUGAACUCGCCUCAAAACAAUUGGCAGCCGGCGUACUUGUUUCGGAGCGCAGCACAUUUUGCGAUCCAGAUCAACGUACAGCGGCAUCCAAGAAGCCUUAUUUAACGCUCUUGACCUCGGAUCAGGUAGGGAUACCCGCUGAACUUAAGCAUAUCAAUAAGCGGAGGA
rnacentral:misc_RNA from 1 species